rnacentral:sRNA from 22 species
GAGGAGAGCUUUUAUUUCCCAAAAGAAAGCAAAAUAAUGUUAAAGCAUUCAUUCUGUAUCCGAAUUCGUCUUAUCCCUUGACGUUGCUUUAACAUUAUUCUCCCUAAUACUCCCUUUAACCGCAUCCCCCUGGUGCGGUUAUAUUU